AUACGGAGGGCGCGAGCGUUAUUCGGAAUCAUUGGGCGUAAAGCGCGUGUAGGCGGCUGGGUAAGUCGGAUGUGAAAGCCCGGGGCUCAACCCCGGAAUUGCAUUCGAAACUGUCCAGCUAGAGUCUCGGAGAGGAGGGCGGAAUUCCCGGUGUAGAGGUGAAAUUCGUAGAUAUCGGGAGGAACACCAGUGGCGAAGGCGGCCCUCUGGACGAUGUCUGACGCUGAGACGCGAAAGCGUGGGGAGCAAACAGGAUUAGAUACCCCAGUAGUCC
rnacentral:rRNA from 1 species